AGCGCCGGACGGCCCCGGUAUUGGUGCUGCAGCUGGUGUUGUGAAUCAGGCCGACGACAAGCGCAUCCUACUAUCCGGCUAUUUCACUACACCAGGGUUGCAUCAUACCACUCACUUCGCUCUUCAUC
rnacentral:pre_miRNA from 10 species